GGUGGCUGGAGUUGUGGCCGCGAAGUUGGCUCCGGGCAGGAGCCACAUCGAAGGCGUGGGAGGGGCGCUGCUCCAGACGCCAGCGUCCCAAGAGAAAUGGGACCUGAAAGGACGUCGCGCCAAAGCCGGGCCAGCCACUUGCUGCGCGCAACUGGGCGAGGGGUGGCACUAGCCUAAAGCCUCUCCCGGGGGAAGCACGGCCCUGUUCCUCUGACCCGCACUUCUCUGAAAAUCCUCAGCUACUGGACUCCAUCUCUACGAGCAGGCGAAGGCUGGGAGUGCACCUGGAGUGGACAGAGCACAUGCUGACCUCGGGGCUUCCUCCCCAGUGGGCCAGCAACCCGAGAAAUCCGUAGAGAGCGCGCCCAGGCCGACCUCCGCCAGACAGACGUGGCCAAGCUUGAUAUAUGGUUGGAAGGGUAUACAGCACAUAGCAAUGAGGGUGCCAGCUGCUUGGUGAUACUGGGCACAGCACCUACUUCAGCAGACUGUUUCUGCAUUUCUCAAAGGAGCUGCUGGGACUGCCUCAUCUCUUCCAGUACUAUCUUUCUGUGGUUUUACGCUCAGAGAGUACAUUUCCCUUCUGGAUUUAAGGACUUCCUGGAAACCCUUCAUGAUUUAGCUGUCGCCACGCCACAAAGCGCUAAUUCAGCAUUAAGCUGUAGGUAUACUGGUGCAAUAUCUAGAACAAAGCAGAGGUGUUUUCCUCUAUCCUGAGUUAGACAGUUGAAAUACAGAUUAGGACACCAUGUAAGAGAAAAACCAGUAUGCAACUGGAGAGCAGGAACUUGGAAUGUUUGAUCUGCCAAGUGAGCAAGAUAGGUAAAACAAGAACAAACUGCUGUCCUGUAAACCAAGUCCUGAAAACCAAGACCACACAAAGAGGGUAAGAUGAUGCAGGCACUUCCUGAAGGCUCCAAAGGGAGCCAAGGAGGGAAGCAGGAUCUGAGCAGAGGGAGGAUCAGCAACAAGGCAGGCAGGUGUGCCCUCCGAAGCAACCUGAGGCAGGCAUCAGGCGCCAGGUGGGUGAGAGUGCUCGGGGGAGCAUGUGAUAAAGAGGUGAUCUAGCUCGAGGAGGAGGAAUGAACUUUAGGAGGGCAAGAGCCAAGAGUGAGUAACAGAGCUAAAAAGCUUGAAGGGGUGGCUGGAUAAACCAUGCUCGGAUCACACAACAGGCAGAGAACAUCUCACGCUCCUGUGUGUGCUCUACAGGACACAUGGUCAGAGAAAGCAGCUGCAGACUAUGCUCGCUGCUUUCUGUAAGAGUCAAAACUGCCAAGGGACAUGUGUGUGUUUAUAUUUUCAAAAAGAAUCAACAGAAGGAAACGACAGGGAAAGAGACAAAGGGAGGGAGGGGUACACAGAGGGAAGCCAAGCUCAUCUGAAAUGUUAUUUGUAGCUUUGCAUUUAGAACCAUGUAAAUUGGGGAAGAAGAAACUCUAGAAAUAAAUACUAAAGCUGAAAUAUGCCUGCUUCCUUACUGUUACAUGGGUAGGUUCAGCAGAUGAAAAUUCACUGAAUUCUACCCACUAACGAUCUGCACACUUCCCUUCAUGAUUACUGUCCUCUAAAGUGGCUUCAUAACCAAGAUUAUAUCAUGAAAAACUAAGAUUUUCAGUAUAAGAAAAACAUACAGACGGAAGUGAAAUACCUGUAAAUUUUGAUCUGAAUAAAAAACGUGCCCAUGAUUCCUUUUUUCUCUUAAAUGUGGGGCAUCCCUAUGGCUGCUUGCACCCCGCGGGCACAGACUGUGAUGGCCAUCUCCAUUUCCACAAGGCUCCUUGGGGACACAGCGAACUCUAGCCUGAGCAGCUAUGGACAGGACAGGCCUGCUGUGACAAAAGUACAGAAGCAGCCACAGACCAAGGAACAGGGAAGUCAACCUGGGAGCAUGAGUCCCGCAAGACAGCUUCAAUGGGC
rnacentral:lncRNA from 1 species